UAAUACAUGCAAGUCGAACGAGAAAGCAUUUCGGUGNGAGUACAGUGGCGGACGGGUGAGUAACGCGUAGGAAUCUACCUAGUAGUGGGGGACAACUCGGGGAAACUCGAGCUAAUACCGCAUACGCUCUAUGGAGGAAAGUGGGGGACCUUUGGGCCUCACGCUAUUAGAGGAGCCUGCGUUAGAUUAGCUAGUUGGUGAGGUAAGGGCUCACCAAGGCUACGAUCUAUAGCUGGUCUGAGAGGACGAUCAGCCACACUGGAACUGAGACACGGUCCAGACUCCUACGGGAGGCAGCAGUAGGGAAUCUUGGGCAAUGGGCGAAAGCCUGACCCAGCGAUGCCGCGUGUGCGAAGAAGGCCUUAGGGUUGUAAAGCACUUUCAGUUGCGAAGAAAAGCUGCGAUCUAAUACAUCGCGGUCUUGACGUUAACAACAGAAGAAGUACCGGCUAACUCCGUGCCAGCAGCCGCGGUAAUACGGAGGGUACGAACGUUAAUCRGAAUUACUGGGCGUAAAGCGCGCGUAGGCGGUUUGAUAAGUGGGAUGUGAAAGCCCCGGGCUUAACCUGGGAACUGCAUUCCAAACUGUCAGACUAGAGUGUGGUAGAGGGAGGUAGAAUUUCCUGUGUAGCGGUGAAAUGCGUAGAUAUAGGAAGGAAUACCGAUGGCGAAGGCAGCCUCCUGGACCAACACUGACGCUGAGGCGCGAAAGCGUGGGGAGCAAACAGGAUUAGAUACCCUGGUAGUCCACGCCGUAAACGAUGAGAACUAGCCGUUGG
rnacentral:rRNA from 1 species